GUAGGGUGCAAGCGUUAAUCGGAAUUACUGGGCGUAAAGCGUGCGCAGGCGGUUUUGUAAGUCUGUCGUGAAAUCCUCGGGCUCAACCUGAGAAUUGCGAUGGAGACUGCAAGGCUAGAAUCUGGCAGAGGGGGGUAGAAUUCCACGUGUAGCAGUGAAAUGCGUAGAGAUGUGGAGGAACACCGAUGGCGAAGGCAGCCCCCUGGGUCAAGAUUGACGCUCAUGCACGAAAGCGUGGGGAGCAAACAGGAUUAGAUACCCUGGUAGUCCACGCCCUAAACGAUGUCUACUAGUUGUCGGGUUUUAAUUAACUUGGUAACGCAGCUAACGCGUGAAGUAGACCGCCUGGGGAGUACGGUCGMAAGRUUA
rnacentral:rRNA from 1 species